rnacentral:ncRNA from 1 species
CGACAGCAAAUGCGUUGAUGCCCAAGCUGCCCAUGAAGCAACUUUGACCGCUAUCUUGCCCGCAUUGGCAGGUGCCAAUAUGAUCUAUGGUA